GAUGAACGCUAGCUACAGGCUUAACACAUGCAAGUCGGGGGGAAACGAUAUUGGAAGCUUGCUUCCGAUAGGCGUCGACCGGCGCACGGGUGAGUAACGCGUAUCCAACCUGCCCACCACUUGGGAAUAACCUUGCGAAAGUAAGACUAAUGCCCAAUGAUAUCUCUAGAAGACAUCUGAAGGAGAUUAAAGAUUUAUCGGUGAUGGAUGGGGAUGCGUCUGAUUAGCUUGUUGGCGGGGUAACGGCCAACCAAGGCGACGAUCAAUAGGGGUUCUGAGAGGAAGGUCCCCCACAUUGGAACUGAGACACGGCCCAAACUCCUACGGGAGGCAGCAGUGAGGAAUAUUGGUCAAUGGGCGAGAGCCUGAACCAGCCAAGUAGCGUGCAGGAUGACGGCCCUAUGGGUUGUAAACUGCUUUUAUAAGGGAAUAAAGUUAGUCUCGUGAGACUUUUUGCAUGUACCUUAUGAAUAAGGACCGGCUAAUUCCGUGCCAGCCGCCGCCGUAA
rnacentral:rRNA from 1 species